rnacentral:rRNA from 1 species
UGCAGUCGAACGAGUUCUCGUUGAUGAUCGGUGCUUGCCGGAUUCAACAUGGAAGAGUGGCGGACGGGUGAGUAACACGUGGGUAACCUGCCCUUAAGUGGGGGAUAACAUUGGAAACAGAUGCUAAUACCGCAUAGAUCCAAGACCGCAUGGUUCUUGGCUGAAAGAUGGCGUAAGCUUCGUUUUUGGAUGGACCCGCGGCGUAUUAGCUAGUUGGUGAGGAAUGGCUCACCAAGGCGAUGAUACGUAGCCGAACUGAGAGGUUGAUCGGCCACAUUGGGACUGAGACACGCCCAAACUACUACGGGAGGCAGCAGUAGGGAAUCUUCCACAAUGGACGCAAGUCUGAUGGAGCACCCGCGUGAGUGAAGAAGGCUUUCGGGCGUAAAACUCUGUUGUUGGAGAAGAAUGGCGGAGAGUAACUGUU